rnacentral:lncRNA from 1 species
AGCAAACACAUAUCCUCACAUCGAAAUAAUUAUCGUCGGAUAAUCGUUCCGAUCCAGAUUCCCGGAAGUGUCAAUUUCGACACCGGAACCCACUGUCGCUCACCCGUUGUUUCCGAACCCUCAAAACAACGCGCGUGAUCAGCCAACAAGGCUCGGCGACUACAUAAUUUAUCGUGAAGCACCGUUGGAAGAAUUCUGAACUAAAACUGUGUUCUGUUGGCGGAUUUCGCCGAAAAAUGCAUCGAAAUUCGACAUCUGAUUU